UGAUUUGGUUGAAUCUGUUAUGGAGAUG
rnacentral:piRNA from 1 species